GACGAACGCUGGCGGCGCGCCUAACACAUGCAAGUCGAACGGAGUUAUUUUGGCAGAAGUUUUCGGAUGGACGCCGGAAUAACUUAGUGGCGAACGGGUGAGUAACACGUGAGGAACCUGCCCUUGAGUGGGGGACAACAGUUGGAAACGACUGCUAAUACCGCAUAAGCCCACAGAGCCGCAUGGCUCAGGGGGAAAAGGAGCAAUUCGCUUAAGGAUGGACUCGCGUCCAAUUAGGUAGAUGGUGAGGUAACGGCCCACCAUGCCGACGAUUGGUAGCCGGACUGAGAGGUUGAACGGCCACAUUGGGACUGAGACACGGCCCAGACUCCUACGGGAGGCAGCAGUGGGGAAUAUUGCACAAUGGGGGAAACCCUGAUGCAGCGACGCCGCGUGAAGGAAGAAAGGCCUUCGGGUUGUAAACUUCUUUAAGUGGGGUAAGAUAGUGACGGUACCGACAGAAUAAGCCACGGCUAACUACGUGCCAGCAGCCGCGGU
rnacentral:rRNA from 1 species